rnacentral:lncRNA from 1 species
AGCGGGCGCGCGUGCGGUGGCGUUGGUGGCGUUGGUAGCGCCUGGGGCUGAGGAGGCGUCGUCGCCGCGGGCUUCGCCCCAGGAGCUUAGAUACCGCCGCGGACCUAGACCGGAUGUGACCUUUUGCCUGGAAGAUCUCAAGUGCUUGGAAGUAUCAGUGCACACCUGAGGUAAGAUGAGAGACACCUUUAUAAUAAGGGCCAAGCAUAUCUUUUUUCUUCAGUUUUUUUUUCUCAU